GGACUGGACCCAAAGGCAAGCGAUAUUCACCUACUGUAAAUGCAGCUAUCUCAAAUGAAGAGGUCUAUAUUACCAACAGCAAUGAGAACCAAAAGUUUUCUUUAACUCAUGAGGAAUUUACCAAGCUUUUAGCACUUGCUAAUUCAAAUCCUUCACUGCCUCAAACAAACCUCACACCAGCUGUGAAUCUUGCCACUUCUCAUUUCUCUGGACCAAUCAGCAAAGAGGAUGAUUGGGAUUGCUCAUGAAAAACAUGGACUUUACCACUUCAAACAA